rnacentral:rRNA from 1 species
UGGGGAAUUUUGGACAAUGGGCGAAAGCCUGAUCCAGCAAUGCCGCGUGUGUGAAGAAGGCCUUCGGGUUGUAAAGCACUUUUGUCCGGAAAGAAAUCCUUGGCUCUAAUACAGUCGGGGGAUGACGGUACCGGAAGAAUAAGCACCGGCUAACUACGUGCCAGCAGCCGCGGUAAUACGUAGGGUGCAAGCGUUAAUCGGAGUUACUGGGCGUAAAGCGUGCGCAGGCGGUUUGCUAAGACCGAUGUGAAAUCCCCGGGCUCAACCUGGGAACUGCAUUGGUGACUGGCAGGCUAGAGUAUGGCAGAGGGGGGUAGAAUUCCACGUGUAGCAGUGAAAUGCGUAGAGAUGUGGAGGAAUACCGAUGGCGAAGGCAGCCCCCUGGGCCAAUACUGACGCUCAUGCACGAAAGCGUGGGGAGCAAACAGGAUUAGAUACCCUGGUAGUCCACGCCCUAAACGAUGUCAACUAGUUGUUGGGGAUUCAUUUCCUUAGUAACGUAGCUAACGCGUGAAGUUGACCGCCUGGGGAGUACGGUCGCAAGAUUAAAACUUAAAGGAAUUGACGGGGUCAUAGCUGUUUCCU